AAACAAAGCAGGCACAGACAGCCGUGGCUUGCACCUGGGGGAUUGAAACAGGACAGAAGGACUUCCAAGACUUGGAGACUUAACUCAAGCUUCAGAGUAAGGUCCUUUAAAAUCAGGAAGGGACCGAGUCAUCUGAAACGGUUGUAGUUGGCCUGUGGAUCUGCACCCCAUCCCUAGAUAAAGAACUAGAUUUGCAGUCUGGCGAGGCACAUUAGCCCUCCAGAUGUCCGGUGGUGGGUAUCCAGAGACUGCGUGAGACUUGGUUUUUGCCUUCCCUCUCAAAGGUGCCAGUUUAGGCUGUAGUUUGUCCCUUUGGCAGCCAUCAUAAUCAGACUCCCAAAGAGUGGAGAACACCCAGUUUUCAGCUUGCCCUCCCAUAUAGACUGCCAGUCCUGCACAGGAAGGGCCUGUGAUUGUGGCAAGCCUGAUUUGGGCAUUCUUGGUUGCAGGGGCUGAAACUCAGUUCAACAGAAAAGCUGAACUGGUUUGCAUGCCCGAAUCCUGCUAAUGCCAGAUGAGUGUGUCCCCCAGGUCACAGGCCUUUAUCCAUGGCCCUGGGGAGACUUUGUUAGAUGAGCCUUUCCAGCCAACACUAUGAUCCCUCACUGAAACAACCCCUAAGAUUUGUAAUCCCGGAGAAACUCAUUCUUCCCAUCCCUGCCAUAACUCUGGAGAUCUGUGAUUGUUCUGCAUGGGUCACAUGUUCACCAUUUGGCUCACUAUGAACUGGACAGAGAUGGGUGACAUGGUUGGCCUGUCCCAUUAAAUAAAAGGCUGACCAGACCUUGGCUCUGGUGCCAAUGGUCCACUGUCGGGAAUGCCUUCCCCUAAA
rnacentral:lncRNA from 1 species